GUAGGGAGCAAGCGUUGUUCGGAAUUAUUGGGCGUAAAGAGCGCGUAGGCGGUUCGGUAAGUCUGACGUGAAAUCCCAGAGCUCAACUCUGGAACUGCGUUGGAUACUGCCGAGCUUGAGUGUGGGAGAGGAGAGUGGAAUUCCCAGUGUAGAGGUGAAAUUCGUAGAUAUUGGGAGGAACACCCGUGGCGAAGGCGGCUCUCUGGACCACAACUGACGCUGAGGCGCGAAAGCUAGGGUAGCAAACGGGAUUAGAUACCCCGGUAGUCCUAGCCGUAAACGAUGGGCACUAGGUGUUGGAGGUAUCGACCCCUCCAGUGCCGCAGCUAACGCAUUAAGUGCCCCGCCUGGGGAGUACGGUCGCAAGACUA
rnacentral:rRNA from 1 species